rnacentral:lncRNA from 1 species
AGCAGGUGGUGAAACCACUGAGCUAAAUCCCCGGUCCUUUGCAGUGUCUUUUUAAAGAAAAUGAGAAGAAUGCCCACAAAUGUUAGGACAGAAUUAUGGAGGGAAAAUACUUUCUCAAAUUAAAAAUGGACUGGAGGAUACAGCUCAGCAGUAAAUCACUUGCUUAACAUGCAUAAGGCCCUCAGUUUGAUCCCCAGCACUAUGGCAGAAAAAAUGAAAACUGAAAGGUUGCGGGGAAUGGAGUAAAGAUCAGCGCUGGGAGGCAGAGGAUGUGGUAUAAAUAAGCAUUGAUUUGUAGUUUUGUUUCUAUGUAGAUUACUUACAACUAACGUAAAAUGAAUGUUUGAUUUCUUGAGCAUGCAGAUGGUGAAGGAUGGAAAGCCAACCUGGAGGCACAAAUUUCAGCAGAUGCUCUGCUUCCAGGUAGUGGAAGUGACUUAUUUUCUUUUUGUGGUUCUGGGUAUUGAAGCCAGGACCUCACCCAUGCUAGGCAAAUGCUCUAACACUGAGCUACAUCCCAGACCUAGUAUAAAUGAUUUUUUUCUUUUCAGUACUAGGGAAGGGGAGAGAGCCAAGGUCCUCUACCACUGAGCUAUGUCCCCAGCCCUUUUUAGUUUUAUUUAUUUUUUCUAUUUUGAGACAGGGUCCUGCUAAAUUGCAGGCUGGACUCAAACUUGUGAUUCUCCUGCUUGGCCUCUCAACUAGCUGGGAUUACAGGCAUGCAUCACUAUACCCAGCCUUCAAAAAUGACUUUUUAACAGUGCUAAUAUCUUCAAUCCAAAAGCAACACCAUCUCCAUCCAAAGGGAAUCUUUAAAUCUCAAGAUGGAUCACCUUCACCAUGAUUAGACUGCAGAUAGAAUAAGGCCUCAUGAAGAUAUUUUUGGUGGCUUUAAAUUGUUGGGAACAGAUACAUAGAGAAGAAACUGCAACUAUGCUCUUUUUUUUUCCUGGUUCCUCAGUCUCCUGAUAUAGUUAACAUUUCACAACUAAAAUAACCUUAAUGAACACUUGAUUAUACUUUUUUUGAAGAUACAUUUCAUGACCUCAGACUGCAGAAACUGCCAUCUCCUAGGCACAGUUUACAUUUGAUCCUUUGCUUAUGUCCCGAGAGCAUCGCAUAUUGGGAGACAUUGCUUUUAUAAAGGCAGUGGCUGCUGGGCCUGGUGAUGCACACCUAUAAUCCCAGCACAUAACAUCAGUGGCCAGCUUGCCUCAGUGUUAAUAAGGACCAGCAUGCAGGUUCAGUUUUGCUCUUCACUUUGGUCCUGAAUUGAGAGCUGAGUCAAGAGAAGUCAGCAGGUCUGCUCAAAAAUGUACGGGUCUUGGGGCCAGAGAUGUAGCUCAGUAGUUCCACUACCUGCCUCACAAGCACAAGGUCCUGAGUUCGAUCCCUGGUACAAAAAAAAAAAAUGUAUGAGUCUUUUUUUUUCCCCAAAAGACAGAUUAUUAUUGAGCCCACUUCGGUCAAGGAGCACUGAAUAUUGUGUUAAAAUAGUACUUUACUUCAUGCUUGAAAUUAACAUUUUAAAGAAUCAUGUAAAUAGUUUAAAGGUAGCUGGAUUUAUUGUAGCCAAAUGAGAAAUACAGCUGUUAAUGAGAGGGCAUAACUUGUGUAGUUCUUAAUUAUUUACAUCAUUAGAGAAACACAAAUAUGACUAGUUCAGAGCAAUUUAACUUUGCAGUGAGAGUUUCUGCGUACCUUUAUAUGUGGGGAUAGCUGAGAUCCUUGGAAUUUACUUUGAGUGAAUGAUGGAAAUACCCGAGAAAACGUAGUGCUAGGACCUCUACUUUUUCUCAGGUCCAGUCACCAACUUCCUACAAACCAGGCAUGAAGAAAAACAAAAAAUAAAUUCUCCAGAAAAUAGGAUGCUUCUCUUCACCCAGGCACAGCUUCUAAGAUAGAUAACAGUUAUUGCAAAGUACAUGUUUUUAAAUGAUCUCCAGUGUGGAUUGCUUCUGAGCCACUGAUGGAAUGAGUACUCCCGGAAGGAAUGUAUCAUUUGGAAUCCAGAAUCAUUCAUCAAGGAUAACUGCCUGAUCCUAUGAUUUCGUGACUGACGCUGAAAUGGAAGCCAACUGAUGCUGAAAUUUGGGGGAAAAUUACAUCUGAAGAAUGCAAGAGAAAGUAGGAAUUCAUUUCUAGCAUUCCCAAACCUGCCUUGUAUUGUCUACUGUACUAUAGUCAGAGGACAACAACUGAGUUCAUGGAAUUUGCCAGCUAAGCCUUACAACUGUCUUAAAUGUUCUUAGGAAAUACACUGAAAAGGUAAGUGAAUUGUCCAUUUAGAAGAAAGACUAAUAGGUAUUUUUAAGUCAGUUGUUAUAUUUUAAUAAAGACAGGGAGCUCCUUUAUUCCAAACUUCAAAGUCGUGCCCCUACUGGGUGACUUCAGUACUGUGGCAAACGUGGAGUUGUUCAACCAGCCUGGAGCUUUUCCUCUACUCAGCUACUAAGCCAGAACAUGCGUUGAAGUGCAUAGCAUGCUAAUUUCUGUUGUCUUGUUGUGCUCAAAUCCUUUUUUUUAAAAAAUUACUUUGUUUCAGAUGAGAUUUAGUUUUAUCACUCAGUAUAUAGAAAAGAGUGUUUAAUGUUUCAAAGAUUCAGCAUUACAUUUGCAUUAGAUAGAAUCAAGAAUAAAUUAAGGGUUUUAAAUGAUUUCUGUUAAUACCUACUUAUAUUAGUUUUGUGGAUUAUUAAAAAAUAUUAUUACAUUUAUUAUGUUCCUGUGUGAUAGGUAUUGUGCCAGGCCCUGGAAUACAGAGGGACUAGCAUGCACAGUUUAUGUCCUUUGUUCAUACAAUACAGAUAGCAUUCUGGUUUAGAGAAUCAAGAUAUGAUAUAAAAAGGCUAAUUCCAUUUUCUCAUCAAUAAUUUACUCUGAUAACUACUAUGUUAACUUAGCAUAAUAAAUUCUUUAUGAAAGUGUCUUCGUUUGUGUGUUUAACAUUUAUUAAAUACUUUGUGCCAGGUAUUGUGUUAAACUCUUUACAUAUAUUUCUUUACUCAUAUCUCUUCUUUGAGGUAGGUACUAUUACUAAAACUCAUUUUCUAAGAAAAGUAGAGAAGCUAACUAACUUAACUUGUGCUGAGUUUGCCUACCUAUGAUCUGGGACCAAUAUUUGGACCCAGGUAAGCUAAUUCCAGAAUCUACACUCUUUCUUUGGGUAUGAUGUUGAUAUGCAGUACCUGGCUAUGAGUAUCCAUAAACCAUUCCAAACUCUUAAUAGAAAUUUUCCCUAAAUUCUUCUCUAGCUCCAAGACAGUUUGCAUGCUGACCUUUCCUCUUACCCCAGGCCCCAAGUGUAAAGGACUGGAACAGAAGAGCAGAGCUUGGCAGUUACAUUUUAUAUUUAGGAUCUUGUCUCUCAGAUCCACCCCUUUUAUUUUUGGAAUGUGAGCAUUUUCUUUAGCUGCUAAAUCAUGAGAAAAUACAGCUGCUGAGAUUUUUCCUAGGAUUAAAAAAAAGAUUAGGCAUUGUUGAAGUGAAGAAAAAUUGCUCUGAGAACCACAGGUAGGUAAUUUGCCCCCUGUUGUAUGGAAAGCCCCUGCACCUCUGUCCA